rnacentral:lncRNA from 1 species
ACUCCACUCACUGGACAGAGGAAAGGGUCAGUUGAGGGGAUGGAUGAUAGAUAUUCUGGGAAGAGGAAGAGCCGGACUGUGGAGAAAGAGCCAGGGGCUGCUGUCUGGCCUGGACAGGCUUCUCCACGUCCGGCAGCUCUAGUCUACAGAGGGGACCACGUGCUGCCUGGAGCUCCGUCUUGACAUCUCGGUGGGUUCAUCCAGAUGAAAUGGAUGAGAUUUCAGUAUCAGAUCUUCAGCCUCUCAGCCGUGGCAGCCCGAAGUUCUGGGCAAACUCCGGACAUACCCACAUAUGCCACGCUUGCUUCCACUGGGUCAGGUUAUCCUUGGGGGGGUGAGGUCAGAAGCAGACCUGACCCGACCAGCACAUGUGCAUGCGGCAUGCAUUCCCCUCUCUCCCUCAGGGAAGAUAGAUGGUUUAAUGUUUACUAGAAUUAGGACUAGGACCCAUGUUCACAUGUUCAGUAGGUGAUAAAGAUCUUUAUUAAUUCAACCAGUACUGAUUACAUGUCUGUCUAACGUUUGUGUUCCCCCUUCAGGUGAUUACUCUCUCCUGGGUGCAGGUAAUGGCCAACAGGUGUGCCUCUUAGGGAAUCACCAGUAGAUCCAGGAUGGUGAGAGCUUAUUUAAUAUGCUGACGUAUUGGGCGGCGACGGGAAGGAUGCCGCAGUCACACCGAGGCUCAUUGAACAAGAGUGAUGUGAGUGCCGUGAGGAGCCCCAACUGACGGACUUACCAAGGCGUUGCCACCGUGGGGACUCCCAGGCUGGAGAUCACAUGGGAAACGUAGCUGGACCUCAGGAGGUGUAUGGCUUCUGUGAGGACGGAGUGGAGCUCAGGCAGCAGGGCCCUGCAAGGACGGCCCAUAGCAGACCCUACCAGUCACCGACUUCAGCAUGCAGGCCUUCCAGGGAGGACCCGGAGGAUGGCACAGGGACCUGCGCAUAUGAAUCAUGUGGGUUGAGGACCUCCGUCCCCUUUCAUGCCAGCACCAGGUAAAGUAAACUCUUCCCCCAGGGGCCACCUUGGAGAGAAAAGGGAAAGUGGGGGAGGAAAACUGCAAGAUUGAAAUAUCUAGGAGACUGUUUAAAUGAUUGGACUGGCUGCUGUUUUAAUUUCCCUCCCUACCUAGUAAGGUGAAGGGCUCGGGGAAAAGGAUUAGAUCAAUGAUAGAAAAUAAUGAAGCUAUAUUUUCUUUGUGUCGCUAAAUGCAGGAUACUUUUGAACUCGCUAAAAUUGUCUUUGCCCUGCAUGUGUUCCCCGACGCCUGCAGGCAUGGGUGCACCUGCGCGUCAUGCCCGUGAAUGCACACACACCUACACACAUGGCAUCUUUACGGGUUUUCCCUGCCGCUGCCUCCCCCCAAGAAUCUGUAUCCACAAGAGCAUUAAUGAGAAAGGUGGGCUUCACUGGGGAUUUCAAGGAGAGAUGGAGGAGAUGUCACUGCAUACUCUGCAGCAAACAUGUGUAUAAUCCCCCUUCAAUACUGUAUUUUAUAUCUAAGAUGCACCUUUUUCACAUUUGAACAUUUGAUAUCUCUGAAUCAGAAUCUGCCUUACUGUGAUGGUGUGUCAUAAUAUAAUUGGCACAUUGUCAUGGCAAUACAUAAAAUAGUAGGGUUUCUUAUAUUUGGUGAAAUCCUUGUAGCUUCCUGCUUUGUUGUCCUUCCUUAACUGUGACCAGAGGCUUACACACCAGGGCAGUUGCAUAGAGGGUUCAAAGCACAGAACUACAGCCAGGCUGCAGACUGUUGCUCACUAGCUCCGCCGUCCCCUAGCCCAGUGACCUUGGGCAACUUACUGAACCACUCUGGGCCUUUGUUUCCCCAUCUGUGAAAUAGGAAUAAUAUUACUAAUUACUUGUUAGGGUUGUUGGUAGUGUUAAGUGAGUGAUACAUAUAGAGAGGUCGGAACAGUGCCAGGUAGAGGCAAGCACUAGAUAGUCUCACAGUUAAUACUCUUUAGUCCCUCCCACACAGGCCCAGCCUCCUGUCACCUCUCGGCUUUUCCCUCCUUCCUUAUUUUAUGAAUAGUAGUCCAAUGACCACUGUUUGCUAUUGGAACAACCCUAGAGAUCUUGCCUGUCCUCUCCAACUAGCUUGCUUCACUAUUUCAUCCAAAUAGAUCUGUUUUCCCUUUAGAGAAAUUCUGAGAGAUAAAAAUCGCCGUAUGUGGAACUGUGUUUUAAUCAUUAUAUCUGAGGCAUUUGUGGCAGAUGGAAGAGGUGGUGGGAUAGGACCCUAUCUGGAGUGGUGUAUGCUCAUUCGGGAGCAUAUGGGGAUAGGAUGGGAAAGAUAGGUUGGAGCCAGAUGGCCAUUUGAAGGAUCAGUAGGGUAUUUCUUCAGUACAUCUCCCCACAUCCUUUGUGUUUGAUGGCAGUCUUCCAUGCUAUGGAUGCCUGGUCGUGCCUACCAGCCCACAUGGGGUGAAGUGGGCUUCCACACUCUCCUCAGAGCACUCUGUAUGGUGGCAGGUGCCUCUUCUCACGUAUGAGGCUGGCUCUAGAAGCUUCCACACUCUCCUCAGAGCACUCUGUAUGGUGGCAGGUGCCUCUUCUCACGUAUAAGGCUGGCUCUAGAAGACAAGUUAGUGGAUGUUAACCGAGAGAUUAAUUGGGCUUAGGUCAAAAGUGGAGAUUCAGAAAAAAAAUUUUAGAUACAGAAGCCUUAGAUAAACAUAUACGAAGACAAAGAGACCCCCAGCCCAUCUGGAUCCAAGGCAGGUCCUGGGCCUGAAUGCUCUCGUAAGAUUUCCCAGACCCUUGCUGCCAGAGUUUAAAUGGCUGCAGCCCUGGUUUUCUCUCCUGUGAGUCUGGACAAAAUAAUUAAACUCUAGCAAAUGGAAAAUUUCUACUGUGUGGGGUUAGCACUUUCAGCUCCAGAAACCAAACACACUGAAAGCAGAGGGUGACUUGGCAUAGGGUGACCAAUACCUCAACUGGUCAGUAGUCUCCCCUAUUAGUUCGUUUAGCUGGUGACCUUGUCUAGAACAAAGAGCUUCUAGCUGGUCACCUCUGGAACAAAGUCAUGCUGAAUGGGGCUUAAAAAUAUUUUGGGGUUUCCUUUUUGGGGGGUUUAAUGAGUCAUUGCCGUAUUUUACCAUGAGUGUUUAUAACCAAACCUAAAUGUGCGUUGGGUCUUGAAUCUCCUCCCACAACUAUUUCCUAUUUGUUCCCAGAAAAAUUCCAAUGCCAGAUUUUGUCAUAGCAACCAGAGGCAAAUAUCAAGACAGCAAUAAAGAGCAAACUCGGGAAAGGGUUUCCUUCCAAUGUGGCUUGAGUUUUUGUAGGGCGUCCACCGUCUGGGUGAAGCCCUUUACGAACCGCAGUGGUUGGCCCCAGAGUCCCUCGUGGGGGGAUCUAGUGGAGUCCAGCUUUACUGACUUCCAGGACCCACCAGGAAAAUACAUCUCUCAGUUUGCUGAGUCUGGAAAAACCGACUUGCUUGCUUCUCAGGCUUUGCACCUGUUGUGUGUUGAUCUUUAUUUUUGUACGUCCAAGUUUUCAAAAUAAAGGGUAUUGAAUUAUUAUCGUUCCAUCAUACAUUUCUUCUGAGGAUUAAAAAAAAUGUUUUUUAACAUUUAUUCAUUUUUGAGAGUGAGAGAGACAGAGCAUGAAUGGGGGAGGGGCAGAGAGAGUGGGAGACACAGCAUCUGAAGCAGGCUCCAGACUCUGAGCUGUCAACACAGGGCCAGAUGCGGGUCUCCAACCCACAAACUGCGAGAUCAUGACCUGAACUGAAGUCGGAUGCUUAACUGACUGAGCCACUUAGGCGCCCCUCUUCUGAGGAUUUUAAUAAACAAGCAUAUUGUUUAUUCCCUAAAUGGUCCCCUCAAAUGCUUCCCCAAAGAAGGCAGGGUGUAUAUGAAUAAGCAAACAAAACAACAAGACAUGAGAGACUUCCAAUACCUGCUCACAGUGUUCCUUGUACUGUUCCUUUCUUCUUUGUUGCUCUUGGCAUGGUGGUGCUAUGAGGUCAGACUCUUUGCCCAUAUGUAAAAUCAUCUCUAGUUUUCCACAAUGCAGCCUUCUUGCUGAAAGUGCUUUUGAGUUUUGUUUUUUUUUCUUUUGAGAGCACGCACACACAUGUGAAUGUGGGUGGGGGUAGGGGGGAGGAUGAGAGGGGUAGAGAGAGAGAGAGAGAGAGCAAGAGUGAGAGAGAGAAUCCCAAGCAGGCUCCAUGCUCAGUGCAGAGCCCAAGGCACGGCUUGAUCUCAUGACCCUAGGAUCAUGACCUGACCUGAAAUCAAGAGUCACUGACUGACUGAGUGACCUAGGCACCCCACCUUUGAGUUUUGCAUCAGGUAUAUCAUGUGUUGGUUCUGAGUAGCGGUGUGUUGGCAGCUGUUUAACAGCUGGAUCUCAGCUUGGGGCGCCUGACUGGCUCAGUCGGAAGAGCAUACGACUCGAUCUCAGGGUCGUGAGUUUGAGCCCCAUGUUGGGUGUAGAGAUUACUAAAAAAAAAGAAUAAAUUAAAAAAAAAAAGUUAUCCUAACAGCUGGCUUUCAGGAAUAGAAUUGCCUUGCUUUGUGGAGUGUGCUGAUGUCUGUGGUGUAAGUACUCCCCCAAUGGUCAAUUUCAAGCUGCUAAAGUUAUCUUACGAAUGAGGAGCUGGAAAAAGAUGCAUACGAUCAACUCUGGGGAACUGGCUGCACCAAAUAGUACUGAUUCUGUGGACCACGCCAGGGGUUCUCAACCUUGGUAUUGUUGACACUUUGGGCUGGAUAAUUCUUUGUUGUUGGUGGCUGUCUUGUGCACUGCACGGUGUUUAGCUUCAUCUCUGGCUUCUACCUACUAGAUGAUAAAAAUAUCCCCCUCCCCACCCAAGUUAUGGCAAAAAUGUCUCCAGAGGUUGCCAGAUGUGCCCUGAGGGGCAAAAUUGAUCCCCAGCUCUGGGCCACUCUGCGUGGAUGGUGUUUAGAAGAUCCGUUCAGCAGAUAGUAGACUUUCACCAACUGUUCUCCAUGAACCAUCCUUAACAUGCACCUGAAGAAGUUCUCUCUCUGCCUUUUGGAUGUGGUAUUUUAAAAAAUCAGGCUAUGCUUCCUUGAGGAGUCUUAAGAAGAGUGAUGCCACGAAGAAUUAAGGCACCAAGACAAAGCAUGGCCACUAGGGGAGGAUGAAGAGAAUUCCAUGUACUGGAUUCAAGAACAGAAUAGAUUACAAUGGACUGUCCCCUUGUCCAGGCUUGUCUUGAUAUGGAUGAGAAUGGACACUCAGAGGUGAGCAGUGGCUUGUCCAAGGGCAUAAAGCAAGCUGUAGAUGUGCUUGGGAGGGUGAUGUGGUAAAAGCCUCUGUGACAUGCUAGGAAUUGGAACUGACACCAACUUGCAGCUAUGAGUGUCUUACAGGUAGGCUUUACAAUGUUAGGUUUUGAUGGCCAUAUUUGACAUCUCCUUGUCCCAAACCUUCCUCCCCCUGCCCCUAAAUAUCUGCUCAGGCAAACCACAUCGUGAUGAGGGACUUCUGUUUCAGGCAGAAUUAAAUUCCCAUCAGCUUCAGAAGGGAGUAGUUGAUUCAAACGUUCUAUUCAGGAGCUGCCUGUCAUUAGAGAACAAACGUUGAAGAUUGUCACUGAUUUCUCUCUCCUUCCUUCCACAUCUGCCUUCUCAUUGAUGAAGUAUCUCAGGCCAUUCUCAAAGUGAUUUAAGGAAAGGACUUGUAGAAGAAACAGACUUUCAGUAAAAAUGUUAAGGUUGCAAGAUUAAUGUGAUAUGAACUAAGAAAGCCCUUCCUAGUUAGCACUGAAAAUGUGUUUUCAAUGCACAGAAGUGCCCGGUGAGAAAGGAAGUGUUAGGGAGGGAUUAUUUUCAUCAGCAGAGUUCCUUGGCUUUGGAACUUCCAGUGAAAUUAGGGCAAUCAUAUACUAGUAAGUCAAUACAUUUCAAGUGCCAAUAAAUUGAACUUAAUGAAGACAAGGAGUCUGCUUUUAUUAGGAGAUUGAAUAAAAAUGAAAGGAGUGCUUUGAAUUGUGGAUCUUUGAGAACACAUCAACAUUUGAAAAGAAUUAAGAUUUAGUGAUUUUGUGUGGAAUAAUUCAUCGCUUCACUCCACAUUAGUUUUUUUACAAUAUGAAGUACUGACCUUCAAGAAAAUUUCCCAUAACCAAAGUUCAUUGUCAUCACCUCAGUCAUCUCACCUUGUCCUUUGCUGCUUUCCCACCAGGUCCAAGGUGAUCAUGCAAACCAACCCCAUGGGGUUGCCUUACACUGUCCUUCCCGACUUCUGGGCAGUAUGGGCCAGUUGGAUUUUUGCUUUCUUUUCCCAGAGGACAAUUCAGCUUCAGCAUCUUAAUCUAAAGAGGUCACUAGUACAGUAGUGUUAGGGGUGGUUAGGGAUAGAAGGGGGAGGUGUUUUGGGUUGUGGGCAGGAUUUGAUGUGACUCUGUAGGGCACACCCUGCUCAGGGCUGCCCCACCAGUAAAGGCCUCAUGGAUUAUGGGAAGAAAAUUUUCUUUAUUUGACAUGGCUUGUGAAUUGAUCUAAUCUUGUUAUUUUUUUUUUUAAUGAAGAAGCUAUCUACUCAGCAACUGAUAACUUUUUUAAAGACCAAUUAACACUUUACUGUAUCAUCUUUUGGAAAUGUUUUAUGCAUACCUUGUCAGGAACUUUACACAAGGCUCAUUGUAUAUCUUGCCAAAUUACUGUCCAGAGUAACAUGCCAAUAUACACCCCUACCUACUGUAUAGAAGUAUCUUGAUUAUUGUAAUUAAAAAGUUAAUAUAUUAGGAAGAAAUCUCUCUUUUAUUUAUUUUUUAUUAGAAUUUAUACAACUCUAAUGAGGUUGAUUACCAUUUUGCAUGUUGAUUUUUUUAUUCGGACUUUAUAUUUUUAGACCAGUUUUAGGUUCACAAAAAAAAUUGAUACGGAGGUACAGAGAUUUUGCAUAUAUCCCCUACCACAACACAUGUGUAGCCUUCCCCAUUACUAAUACUCACACCAGAGUGGUGUAUUUGUUGCAACUAACGUAGCUACAUUGCCACAACAUCAUCACCCAGAGUCUAUAGUUUAUAGCUUGUUCUUGGUAGUAUAAAAUUUAUAGAUUUGGAAAAAUGUAUAAUGACAUGUAACCGUCAUUAUAGUAUCAUACGGAGUAUCUUCAUUGGCAUAAAAAUCCUCUGUACUCUGUGUGAAGAGUGAAUAAUGGGUAUACCACUCUAUUUUACCUGUCCUAUUCAUCUAUCAUUCCCCCUCCCAAACCCUGGUCACCACUGUUCUUUUAUGAGUUUUUUUUUCUCAAAGUAGAAAAGGUAGGAGCAAUAGUUUUCAGUUCUAAGGAAAGGUCCUAAUGACCUUCAAAAGCCCUAGGAACUGGGGGGGGGGUGCAAAAUUGAGGAGAAAAUAAGGAAUUUGAUAGAUAAUAUUUGCUCGUGAGCCAACAUCUGACAGUUCCAGACCUUAACUGUGCACUCUUGCAAUGUUACCCACACUACAACAGCAUCACCAAGAGAUGUCAAGACAUGAGAAGUUGUGGUCAUUGGAAACAGUUUCCAAAUAUCUGUCUUGCUAGACUAUUCCUUCUAAAGAUUCUUUUGUGCCAACUACUUGUCUUUGUCAUGUGAUCCUUGCUGGCUCUGCAACACAGAUGUGAAAAGUGAAGAAAGCAUGCCUUUGGAUUUCAUUUCUAAAAGUAGAAAAGACACAAUUAACUUUGGGGCUUUUAAAGUACUAACUAUUCCUUAUAUGUAUCCAGAGCCGUAUGUAGAAAUAGAUUGAAAGGAUGGCAUGUACAUGUACAUAGCUCCUUACUAUAAAGUGGUUAAAACUCAUGGGCUUCAGGCUGAGCUCUGGGGGUUCAUUGGACACAUGGGACAGGAUCUUAUACUCAGUUGUAGACUGAGUGCCUUGCUUUUGUCCAUUUUUGAAGACUAAAUCAGGUGUUGGGGGAGCCACUCACCCCAUCUUCACCCAUAAGCCUAUUUUAUUCAUCAAAACAAUGUACUAUACUGUGAGUACCUGGGGACAGAAAUCAUAGCUUUUUCUGUAUCCUCAGUGCCUAGCAUAGUGUCAGGCAUGUAAUAGAUUCUUUUUUUUUUUAAGUGUUUUAUAGCUUUAUUGAAGUAUAAGUGAUGUAGAAUCAACUGCACAUUUUUAAAGUUUUCCAUUUGAUGAGUUUUGAUACAUGUAUACACCCAUGAAACUAUCACCACAAUCAAAAUGCUGAACAUAUCCAUUGCUCCCAAAGUUUCCUUUGCAAUUCUUCUUCCCUUCCUCCCACUGUUCCCAGACAACCAAGGUUCUGCUUUCCGCCAUUGUAGAUUAGUUAGUAUUUUCUAGAAUUUUAUAUAAGUGGAGUAUAACAUUUUUAUUCUUUGUUGUCUGGCUGUUUUCAAUCAGCAUAAUCAUUUUGAGAUUCAUUGAUGUUGUUCCAUAUAUUAAUAAUUUGUUCCUUUUUAUUGCUGAAUAGUAUUCCAUAUUCCAAUAGUAUUCCAUUCCAUUCAUAGUAGGUAUUUAACAAAUGUUUGUGGCAUUACAUUGAAUUGAAAAUUAAUUUUGAAAGUAUAAUUGGGGGAAGAGUGAAUAAUGGGGAUACCACUCUAUUUCAGUUGAAUAGUCCACUUAGGAAGUCAAAAUAGAAAUCAGGAGGUAAGUUGGCACGGUAGAGACUUUUAUUGUCUUCCAGUACCUGUUCUCCCUUUUUUUCAUAGAAAUGGAAUGCCUAAUUUGACACAGAAUUGUCUGGGAUAAAGACUACAUUUCCCAGCCUUCUGUGCAGCUAAGUGUGGUUUUACUACUAAGUUGUGACCAAUAUGAUGUAAACAGGAGGGGUAUGUGAAACUUUAAAAAGUCUUCUUAAAGGAAGGGCAAUUCCCUUCUCUUCUUCCUCCUUCCUGCUGUCUGGCACACAGUCAUAAUGUCUGGAGGUCUAGCAGCCAUUUUGGAUCAGAAGGGGUCUUAAAAAUGGAAGCCACCUGGGGCAGAGCAAUAGGUAGAAGAAGCCUCGAUCCCUGAAAUCAUAGAGUGUUGUGCCAGCCCAGGGCUAACUACCUCCAGACUGUGAGAGAGAAAUACAUUUUGAUCUUGGUUAAGCUUUUAAAAAAGUCUCUUUUGUGUUUUAUGUUUUUUGCAGCCAAAACAGUCCUAAAUGAUACAGUUAGCAAGGAUAGAGUUUGAACAAGAGGGAGUUUGAUGUUGCUGAAAGGUCAAUUACAUCAUGCUAAUGUGUCCAUCUUCACUUUUAAGGAUUUUUCUGAAU